rnacentral:rRNA from 1 species
CCAACAGGGAUUGCCUCAGUAACGGCGAGUGAAGCGGCAACAGCUCAAAUUUGAAAUCUGGCCUAGCCCGAGUUGUAAUUUGCAGAGGAUGCUUCUGGUGCGGCGCUGUCCAAGUCCCCUGGAACGGGGCGCCACAGAGGGUGAGAGCCCCGUCUGGUCAGCCGCCAAGCCUGUGUGAAGCUCCUUCGACGAGUCGAGUAGUUUGGGAAUGCUGCUCUAAACGGGAGGUAGACCCCUUCUAAAGCUAAAUAUUGGCCAGAGACCGAUAGCGCACAAGUAGAGUGAUCGAAAGAUGAAAAGCACUUUGAAAAGAGGGUUAAACAGUACGUGAAAUUGUUAAAAGGGAAGCGCUUGUGACCAGACGUGCGCCGGGCGUUCAGCGGGCGUUCUCGCCCGUGUAUUCGUCCCGGCGCAGGCCAGCGUCGGUUUGGACGGGGGGACAAAGGCGUCGGAAAUGUAUCUCCCCCGGGAGUGUUAUAGACCGAUGUGCCAUGCCCCCGUCUGGACCGAGGUUCGCGCUCUGCAAGGACGCUGGCAUAAUGGUCCCCAGCGGCCCGUCUUGAAACACGGACCAAGGAGUCGAGGUUUUGUGCGAGUGUUUGGGUGUAAAACCCGCACGCGUAAUGAAAGUGAACGUAGGUGGGAGCUUAGGCGCACCACCGACCGAUCCUGAUGUUCUCGGAUGGAUUUGAGUAGGAGCACAGGGCCUCGGACCCGAAAGAUGGUGAACUAUACUUGGAUAGGGUGAAGCCAGAGGAAACUCUGGUGGAGGCUCGCAGCGGUUCUGACGUGCAAAUCGAUCGUCAAAUCUGAGUAUGGGGGCGAAAGACUAAUCGAACCAU